rnacentral:rRNA from 1 species
UACAGAGGGUGCAAGCGUUGUUCGGAAUCAUUGGGCGUAAAGGGCGUGUAGGCGGUUUGUUAAGUCAUGUGUGAAAUCCCUCGGCUCAACCGAGGAAAGACGCAUGAAACUGACAAGCUAGAGUACCAAAGAGGGGGGUGGAAUUCCCGGUGUAGCGGUGAAAUACGUAGAUAUCGGGAGGAACACCCGUGGCGAAGGCGGCCCCCUGGUUGGAUACUGACGCUGAGACGCGAAAGCGUGGGGAGCAAACAGG